CUCAUCUCUUACUAUACAUUUUGGAUAAAUGAAAUUUUAAGACUGCAAUUUUUUUGUUUUUUGUUUGUGUUUGUUUGUGUGUGAGUGUGUGUGUAAAAGGGGGGGGGGAGAUAUCAUGCUUAUACAAAGCAUGAAUUGCAAAUAAGUGUGAUUUUGUUAUACCCCUUACUAUUCUGAAUCUGAGAAACAUUUAACAAAAUUGCAACAUAAUACAACUCCGGAUUUCCAUUUUAAAUCGAAUGUGAAAAUAUGUCAGCUGUGCAAACGUUCUAAAUUUUGAAACACCUGCGAUGUACAUUUACCAAGGACAAGCAUAUGAUACUGAUGUCGUGAUUAAUUAUACGUAAACAUAAUAUCAUUUUACAGCAUUAACAAUACAAUAUAUUUAUAGUUCUCUUUAAAUGGGCAAAAAUAUAUAAAUCACCAUAAACCUUAAAAAUGUCAAAUCAUUAACUUUCUUAUUAUGUUACAUUUGUAAGUGCAUUGAUAGGGUAGUUGCAAUUAUUAUCCAUUGUGAAAGGAAAGAUAUGCGAUCUGUCGUGCAAAAUGCAAGACAGUUUUAAUUGAAUUGUCCUCUUGUUUGAAAUCAUUUUAUGAUAUACUAUACUCUAUAAGCUAUUAAGUUGUGAAACUCCUUUCUUUCGUCCUGUUUUUGGAUGUUAAGUACCUGAACGUUUAAGAUGUCUGCAUGUUGAUUUAUAUUUACAUAUGAUGUCCUUGUAUCUAUGAUGAAAUUUAGUAAAUGUUUUGACUAGUUUGUGAUAUCGAAAACCCUUAUUAGGAAUGGAUUGAGAAACAGACAGGAAGAUGGACAGAUACAUUUACCAAAAAAAUAAUACCCUUCUAUUGGAGCAUACAACUUAGCCUCACAAGAUGUUAUAAUUGUUUGGACAAGCAAGAUUAAAGCACUUGAACUAAAAAUUGAAAACCACAUUGCGUCACUAGACCCAGCCCCUACUAUCGAAAGUAGAAAAAAGUUGACCGCCACUCAAAAAUCGAUUUUACAAUCGGCAAGCAUUUCCGGUUUUAAUUCAAGUUAUCGAAUUUAUGACUCGUGUUUUAAUUCACUUGGUCGAGGUUAACUAUCAUUAUCGAAACAAUUCACAUUAUCGACCGUUAAUGCAUUAUCAAAAAAGUAACCAUCAUUAUCUGAGCGCGAGUCACAUUAAUUAGAUCAUCUAUGAUGGUCGAACGUAAAGUAUACUUUACGCUGACUAUCUAUAAUGAUCGACCGAUAAACUAUCAUUAUCCCCGAUAAACUGUGAUUAUCUAUUAAUGUGGUUUCCGCGUUCCAUAA
rnacentral:lncRNA from 1 species